UCCAUGGUUCCCAGUGGGUACGGCCACCCAAGGGAAAAGCUCGACCAAUAGGUCCAAGGGAGGCAACUGCAAGUUAGUUCAAUAAACAAAUAAAUAUAUAUCUUGAUUAUGCAACAAAUGAAACCAUGCAUUGCCUCACGAAUGCAAUAUGAAGAUCAUGCAAUGAUGCGACUAUACAAUCAACUAGUAAUUCAAUCGAUUACUACUUUCAUCCAAUUGACAUUUAAGGCUUUCUGUCAUUUACCAUUUUAAUCAUAAGGUCUCAUUUACCUUUAUCAACUAUCCACCCGACUCGGUCUUGAGUCAAUCAUUCGCGGAGUACCGCGCAAAGGCAGGCUCGAGGCGAAGGACGUCUCACUUGCACCUCAGCCUUAAGUCCACUCAACUAGGGUAUUAUUAUAGCUCAUAAAUUUAUUACCCAAUCACUUGGCUAACCCGAAGGUUUCGCCCUCAACAAACUCACCAACUCAAAAUUCGAAAAAUCGGGGAGAUACUCGCUACACCCGAUGGGACCGUCCUCUGGGGAGAUACUCGCUACAACCCAGUGAUGUCGACUCCGGAGCACAUCGCCCGAGGGGGAGCUACCACAACCUCGAGCAAGGACUAAAGGUGAGUAUGAUCAAUGAUCAAAUCCAAAAUCUUGAGGAUGUCAAGUUCAAUCCAUUUCUUAACUUUAGAAAGACUAUGCUCAAAUGACCCUAACUCUAGGAUUGAAAUGUCAUAAUAUUUCCAUCAUUCUUUUCUUUGCAUUCUUUACUAUCACUCGUGUCAUAUACACUACUAUAUUCUUGGACUCAUGCCACACUUGUUUUUUAAGUGUUCAACAUACCAUAAGUGUUUCCACUAUACUAAUCAUAUGCCACUCGAUCUAAUAUAUAUAGAUUGUCCACGUCACAUAUCAUAGUUCAUAUGUCAUUGUUUUUCAAUGUCGAGUUCUCUAAUUCACCUAGAGUUUAUCGACCCAAGUUCAACAUGCAUGUGUCAUUUAACAUAAUCCACAAUAUGUCAAUAUACAUUCAUCUAGUAUAUUCUACAAUAAAUCAACAUGCACUCAUUCAUCAUAUUCCACAAUAUGUCUACAUAUAUAUGCCAACCAUUCAUAUGCCAUCCAACAUGUUCCAUAAUUUAUCAACAUGCAUAUUACCUCUAACAUAUUACUAUAACAUUAUUUUCAUGCAUUCAUGUAACAAUUAACUCAUGCAUUCAUCUAGCAUUAUUUAACUUGCAUCUUAUCAUUACGCAUUUCUACUUGGCAUUUACAUUAACAUGCAUCAUUUUCAUACUUCAUUUACAUCUAUAUGCAUCAACAUGGAUUCUUAAUUUGCUUAGACAUAAAGGCGACCUAGUCGCUUCGGUAAGCACAACCCACCUUAACUCGCGUUCCGAUUGCUUGUCGACACUUGCAAUCGGCCUCCCGCGGCACCCGUAUCCGGCACGGCCCGAUAUCGCAACUGCGCCUCAACUGUGCUCCGCUUCGCAGCCCCGAAAAUUAUAGGUCUUCGGUUAUGUGCCACGAUGCCUCAAAUCCAUUUCCAUGAUUUUACGACGUCGCCUCGGCCCUCCCGGCGGACCCGAAGCCUAAACGUCCAUUUCUUUAAUAACUUUGUAACGACUCGUCGGAUUGCCGAACCGUCUUUGCCAACGCGUUUCGUUGCCUAGCAAUUAGGUUUACGAAGGGUCAAAUGAGAUCAAACCCUCAUAUUUUGAAAGUUUGCAUUUUGGAGCCCUAGGUUACAACUAUGCAAGAAAUCACUAAAUUGAUCCAUGAUUCAAGCAUUAAUCAUCUAGAUAGCAUGCUAGAACUCCUCUAAAUUCAUUUAUAAGGUAUUUAAACAAAGCAUUAAAGAUCUACCAUUAAAGGGCUCAAGAAGCUCAUCUCAAAAUGAGCUCCAAACCAUGGAGAAGAUGAAGAAGACGAAGGCGAUCCACCUCCAAGCUUCAAUCUCCACCAAAUCCAUUCUUUUUGGGAGAGAUUUAGAGAGAGAAAGAGAGGCUUCUCUCUUUCCUUCCAUGCGUGUGUGUUGUGUGCGUGCGUGUGUGGGGGGGUUGGGGCAGCCUCGGUUGAAGAAGGAAGGAGGAAAAGGGAUUUAAUCCCUUUUUACCAUUUUGCCCCUCAACUAUGCACUAUUCAUUUCGGGCAGUUUAUUUUUCGUCGGAGUCCUUCUGGAUGUCCGUUUUAGCUCAAAUUUGACAAUUAUGUUUGGUUUAACGUACUAAACAAGAAUAUAUCUUAAGUUUUCAGUUUCGACCCCGUUUGGUCACCGAAAACUGUGCCGAACUGCAAUCUUUAUCAGAUAGUCUUCGGAUUUUAUUUCUUACUCUACGGGUGUCAGAAAAAUAUGAAACUUUAAAUCUAGCCUCAUUAAAAUAUUACUGACAUCCCCGCCAAUUUUCAUAAUUUUCUGAGACUAUGCAUUUUCUGCUAAUUUAUCUGCCCCGUUUCCAACAGAAAAUUCUAGAUCUUCUGUUUUCAUUCCGAUUUCAGCACAAGUUACUUCUGACUUAUAUUUUACUUCUCUAAAUCCAAUAAAAAUAGUAUCUUACACUAUUUUUAUUUAUUUCUAUUUUUAUACCAAAAUCUGGUAUGUUACAAGUAUGCUGCUAGCCGCUUCUUUCGCUACCAGAUGGUCGAAGGAAAGUCCGUGGUCGAGCAAGUUCAAGACUUUCAGAUGAUCGCUCAUGAAGUUCAAUCUGAAGGAGUCAAGUUUGGAGAUAACUUGAUCGUACUAGGGAUCAUCGACAAGCUACCACCAUCAUGGAGGGAAUUCCAAAAAACCCUUCGACACAAGCAAAAGGAGAUGUCUCUCGAGACAUUAAUCACGCGCAUUCGCGUGGAAGAAGAGGCAAGAGGCCAAGAUGCACUUGAAGCAAAAGAGAAUGAUGCUAGCGCCACUAAGGUAAACUUAGUAUCUUCUAAUACUUUACCUAAUAACAAUCAUUCUAGAAAUACAUACUUGAAGCCUAAAAAGAAAAUUAGAAAGAACAGUGAUAACCUCAAUUUAAGAAAAAUGACCAAGGACCUCCUUCAAAUGUGAAAAAUUCUAUAAUUUGCUAUGUCUGUGGCAAAAGUGGGCAUAUUGCUCGAUUUGAAAAUUCCGGAAAUAUAAAGCUUUACCUCAAGCUAAUAUUACCGAGGAGCCACUUGUGGCGAUGAUAACAAACAAAUGCUUAGUGGAGAAUGCUGAAGGAUGGUGGGUAGACUCUGGUGCCAAUAGGCAUGUCUGUCAUGAUGAGACUUGGUUUAAAACAUAUACUCCCUAUGAACAACCAAGAAAUAUUAUGCUUGGUGAUUCGCAUACUUCUGAAGUUUUAGGGAGUGGUGAGGUCGAGUUAAAAUUUUCUUCUGGAAGGGUGCUUAUCUUGAAAGAUGUGUUGUAUACACCCUCGAUUAGGAAGAACUUGAUGUCAAGUUUUCUUCUUAAUAAAGCUGGCUUCAAACAGACCAUUGAGUCUGAUUAGUAUGUGAUUUCAAAGAAUGGAAAGUUUGUAGGUAAAGGUUAUGCAUGCGACGGAAUGUUUAAACUAAAUAUUGAGAAUAAAGUAUCAUCUACUUCUGCUUACAUGCUUUCUUCUGUGAAUUUUUAGCAUACUCGUUUGUGUCAUAUUAAUAGCAAAUAUGUUAGCUUGAUGAGUAGUUUAGGAUUAAUUCCCAAACUGAAUAGUGAUUUUGACAAAUGUGAAACAUGUAGUAAGUCAAAAAUUACUAAACGACCUUAUAAAAGUAUUGAAAGAAGUACCGAAUUACUUGAGCUAAUUCAUAGUGAUAUUUGUGAAUUUGAAGGUAAUCUAACUCGUGGAGAAAAUAGAUAUUUUAUCACUUUUAUUGAUGACUCUUCAAAAUAUACUUAUGUUUAUUUAUUAAAAAAUAAAAGUGAUGCUUUUGAAAAAUUUAAAGAUUUCCUUCAUGAAGUAGAAAACCAAUUCGGUAAAAAGAUAAAGAGAAUUAGAAGUGAUCGAGGUCGUGAGUAUGAAUUUACGGGAUUCAACUCUUUUGCUCAGUCUUUAGGAAUUAUCCAUGAGAUUACCGCUCCAUAUUCACCUGUCUCUAAUGGAGUGCCUGAGAGAAAAAAUAGAAUGCUUAUUGAGCUAACAAAUGCUAUGAUGAUUGACAUUGGUGUACCCUUAAACCUUUGGGGUGAAGCCAUUUUAACUACAUGUUAUGUCUUGAAUCGCGUGCCACAUAAGAAGUCUAAGGUGACACCCUUUGAAUUAUGAAAAGGGUAUAAGCCAAAUUUUGGAUAUCUUAAAGUAUGGGAUUGUCUAGCAUAUGUGAGGCUUACAGACCCUAAAAGACCCAAAUUGGAUGUUAGAGCUGCCACUUGUGUUUUUCUUGGAUAUGCUUUGAAUAGUACAACCUAUAGAUUUUUAGACAUUGAAAAUAAUGUGAUUUUUGAAUCAAGAGAUACUAUUUUUCAUGAAGAAAAGUUUCCUUAUAAAUCGAAAAAUAGUGGGGGUCAAAAUUUUAAAAGUAUUUCAAAUAAACCGAGUUCUUCAAACUCUUUCUUGCAAAAUCAAGAAAAAAAUAUUUUUGAACCAAGAAGAAGUAAACGAAGCAGAAUAGAAAAAGAUUUUGGCCCUGAUUAUGUUAUUCUGAAUAUUGAAGAAAAUUCAUUUUCUUUACAAGAAGCUUUAUCUUCAAAUGAUUCAAUUUUUUGGAAAGAGGCUGUACCUGAUGAGAUGGAAUCCAUAAUUUCUAAUAAAACAUGAAAAUUAGUGGAUUUACCACCAGGCUGUACAACAAUUGGUUGUAAAUGGGUUCUCAGAAAGAAGUUGAAACCGGAUGGAAGUGUAGACAAGUAUAAAGCUAGACUUGUCGCAAAAGGUUAUAAACAAAAAGAAGAUCUAGACUUCUUUGAUACCUUUUCUCCGGUGACAAGAGUGACAUCCAUCAGAGUUCUGAUUGCUAUUGCUGCAAUUCAUGACUUACAAAUUCAUCAGAUGGAUGUAAAAACUGCCUUUCUAAAUUGUCACGCCCCGAGCCCGAUCCUUUUUGGCCGAUUCGAGAGCGUGAAACAGACGCCGAACGGACAGAGCCUCCCCUGUCUGCCCAAGGCUCAACAACAGGUACAGAUAGAGUAUAGAAAUUGCAUAAGCAAAAGUAUACACAAUGGCUUGCACGAGGGCAAGCAAUAGCCAAGAGUGAAAGUAAACAACUACACUUAAGGAAUCGAUUACAUUUUUCAUCAUUUCUUUUCUUUUACAUCACAGGAUCUCAAAAUAUCAUUCUUGCAUUUAAAUGUAAAGAUCUUUCACAACAUACAUGUUCUUUUCUUUAACAACUAAAUCAUCAAGUACAGAAGAUGAUAUAUAAAAAAAAGGGGUAUGCAACUAGAGUAAGUAAACAUCUCGGGCGGUCUCUACCUAGGGCGCGAUGCCCUUACCGCGAUCGUCCGCCGGCUUACUGGGUCCCGGCUCUGUGGAAAUAGGAGUGUGAGAACUACAACAAAGUUCCCAGUGGGUUCGGCAACCAACCACGCCGACUAUCCCACUAGGUCUAAUCAGGCAUAAUAGAAUGAAAGAAAGUAAGUAACCAACUAGCAAAUGCAACUAAUAUGCCUGAACAAUAUAAAUGAUAUGCACAAUGUAAAGCUCAUAGUGUCAAUACCCAAUCUCUUGGCUAACCCGUAGGUUUCGCCCUCAACAAACUCACCAACUCAAAAUCCCAAUAAUCGGGGAGAUACUCGCUACACCUGAUGGGACCGUCCCCUGGGGAGAUACUCG
rnacentral:lncRNA from 1 species